rnacentral:rRNA from 1 species
AACGUAGGUUCCGAGCGUUAUCCGGAUUUACUGGGCGUAAAGCGCGUUCAGGCGGUUUGGCAAGUCGGGCAUGAAAUCUCUGGGCUCAACCUGGAGAGGUUGUCCGAUACUGCUGAACUGGAGGGCAGUAGAGGGUGGUGGAAUUCCGGGUGUAGUGGUGAAAUGCGUAGAGAUCCGGAGGAACACCAGUGGCGAAAGCGGCCACCUGGACUGCCCCUGACGCUGAAACGCGAAAGCUAGGGGAGCGAACGGG